UUUUUUUUUUUUUUCAUUUUCCCAAUAGGACAGAUACAGACCUGGCACCUCCCUCUCAAGAUUCUAACAUGCCCACUAUUUCAAUCUUACCCCUAAACUACACGGAGUUGAGGACCACUUUUCAAAUAAACUUUGUUUUUUAAAAAAUACAAGCAGAAUGACAUUUAAAGUUUAAAAAAAGAAUGACUGACUUAGGAAAACAAUCUAGAGGCAAUUUAUUUUGAGCAACAUGUCCCUCCAAAAAGACAUAUUUCAAACCUCAUCACCCUCAACAAAAGCUUUUGGGGGAAGCUUGAAAAUUAACCUUUUACUCCUUUCUCCCUCUAUUCAGAUUAUUUCCACUCCCCUCCCCCCUCCUUUCUUUUAAUAGAAAUAUAGACUCCUCUGUACUUUUUCAACAAUUAAAGAGACAGUCUCUUCUAAUCCUGGAAAAUUAAUUACUAAGCUUGGAAGAGACACAGUAGUUGACGUCCAGGAGCUCUCCAAUCUCAGGAAGACAAAGGAAACCAAGCCAAGAAGCCCACUUCUGCUAUUAGAGUUAACAUGAGCUACUGCCAGGCAGCAGUUUCAGACAGCUCUCCUGGGUUACUGUAAUUGCCCCUGCAGGGGACGGACCUUCAUCAGGAGAAGCAGUGGGCUCCUACAAAAAAGCAGUCCUCCUCUCAGCUUUUUCUUCCUAACUCCACACACUGGACAAAGACUGAUGUCUGGUGGUGGGACAGGUGAGACAAUGGGCAAGGCACUUCUUAAUUUCAAAGAGAGGAAGAUAGGUAUUUGGAGAUGUUACCAGACUAGAAACUCAAAGGCUAGGGCUACAACUUACACAUUCUUCUAUUCCUAGUUCCUGGCAUUUAGUAGGUCCUCAGUAAGUGUUUAAUACGUGAAUGAAAUAAGCCAAGCAGGGUUGUCCUGAGGCUGCAGUCACCUUAGGCUUGACUGGGGCUGGAGGAUCUGCCUCUAAGAUGUCACACUCACAUUUUGAGUGAGGAAGGAAGCCUAUUUCCUUGCCAAGUGGGAAUCUCCAGGAGUUUACCUGCAUGUCAUGACAUGGCAGCUACUUUCCCCCAAAGUGAGUGAUUCAAAGAGGGUGAAGUGGAUGCAAAAGCCUAGCCUUGAAAUGUCUUGAAAAUGACAUACCACCACUUCUGCUGUGUUUAAAUGGUCACACAGACCAACCCAGAUACAAUGCUCACAGGAGACUACAAAAGAGCAUGAAUCUAAGAGGUGGAGUCACUGUGAACGUCUUGGAGGCUAGCAACCAUAAUCUAUCACUAACAAAAAGAACCCAGAUGAUUAAACGAUGACAAUGCUUUUUUAUUACUUGUAAUUACUAUCUUAUACAGUAGUAACCAUGCCUUUUAUUUUCUGAUGCUUCGACCUCUUUGGGCCUUACUGACCCUGUAAGGGAAUGCCCCCCUCCUAGGGUUAGCAACCAACCUGGCUGGGAGUGUGCAUUUCAAAACACACUAACCAAUUCAGGAGCCACCUCCUUUAUGGGGCUCUCACACUCUGGGCCACUAUGCAGCUUCAUGAAUCACCCAGGGCCAGGGAUGACAUGAGCAACAGCCCUUUGUCCCACGGCCCACCAAAAGUAUUCAAAUUAGCCAAUCCCAAGCCUAAUCACCCUGCCUUGCCUGUUCCUUCUUGUAGAAACCACACCAUAAGCUCUUACAUCUUCCCCUCGCUCCCUGAUUCCUGACUGACCCAGCUGCUUCCCCUGUCCCCUUGUGUGGCAGACCUAAUGUUUCCUAUUUCUAGGGACCUUCUUCCUCAUGACAGUCAUUUCUAUGUCUGUGUGUCAUACCAAACCACACCAUAUCUGAUGAAUACAAAUCCCAAUACUCUUAAAACAUGUACUUAAUCAAAGAGCAUCUUAGGUCUUUUGUAGAUUGGAGGCAUCUGAGACAUUUGAGGAAUAUCCAGUUUCAUCAGUGUUUCCCAUUUGACUUCAAUUCUAAUUUCAUUUUUUUCCUAUACUGAAUCACUUAUCCCCGGAAGUUAAUCACUUCUGCUCAAAGUCAGCAUUAAGUUUCCAACAAAUUGGUUCAUGCCUUAAUGAUUAGGCCUGUGCUUUGCAUGAAUUGCUAACAGUAGGCCACUUAUUGCAGUAAGAACAUCUUCCAGAGUUCCCAUAGUGGCUCAGUGGGUUAAGAAUCUGACUACCAUCCAUGAGGAUGCAGAUUCGAUCUCUGGUCUCGCUCAGCAGGUUAAGGAUCCGGCAUUGCCAUGAGCUUUGGCGCAGGCUGCAGAUGCAGUUGGGAUGUGGCGUUGUUGUGGCUGUGGUGUAGGCUGGCAGCUGUAGCUCCAAUUCAACCCCUACCCUUAAGAACUUCCAUGUGCCGCAGGUAUAGCCCUAAAAAGACAAAAAACAAAACAAAACAAACAAACAAACAAACCCUUCUUCUAUUUAUUCCAAAGGAUGUGACAGUUUCCUCUUCAUUCAUUUGCCUUGUUUGGUGUUUGGUAGACAAACCUUUUACACCAACCUCAGCAUGUCAGUAAAACUUCAGUUACUAGUGUGUAUCUUUCUUUCUUUCCGUAGUUCCAAAAAGCACUUAGUUGCCACAUUGCCAAAAAUACAGCCUCAUGUUCAUUCCUAAAAUGGCAAGGCUUUGCUUCUCUAAUACCAAAAUUAACACUACUGCUCUGCUUCUGUACUUUUUGAGUACAAAAUAACCUUUCAUUAUAAUAAGUCGUAGCACAAUCUUUUUGAAAGCAUCUUAAACAACACAUACAUUUAACAAUAUGUAGGAUCAAUAAUGCAUAUUACUUGACAGAAAUGAUGCCAAUAUGGAAAGCAUGCUCAAUACGCACAUGCACAGGUGAUGACAUCAGUGUCGUCACAACUGCUGCCUGCCUGACACUCUUAAGAUGCCAAUUUCAGAUACACUCCGAUUUAAAAAAAACUCAUCCCAGAAUUGAUGCAGCAAGGUAAACACCUUCCCACAUAAGGUGCUUGGCAGAGUUUCUGACCCACAGUAAGCUCUCACUAAAUGCCAACAAUCAAACUCUCAGCAAACUAGGCUCCCUCUAGACAACAUAUCUGACUUGCAGAGAGGGGCAGGGAUGUCUGAUCUUCUCAGACUUGGGAAAGUGGGGACAGAGGUGAUGGCAACAAAAUGGCACCAUCUCACAUACCACCAGUCUCCUGUGGGUGAUUGGGAGCUAGGCCUGGAGAAGGAUGAGCUUAUGUUGCUUGGUCACCAAGGAAAGAGACUUGGUUAAUAUUCAUUCAGUGCUCACAUCAACCCUGAAGAUGAGAAAUUACCUAAUUUUACAGAGGAGAAACUGAGACUCGGUAAAGUUAUUAUUAACCCCAGAGUUACGUAGCUAGAAGGCACAGACUUCAUUUGCAAGCCUGAGCUAUUCCCAUAAUCCUACCACCAUCUACAAAGAAUUUGAGUCCUACUAUGCAUGUCUCCACUUCCUAUAUUAUUUCUGCCUCUGGUAAUCAUAUGUUGUACGAUGGAGAGAGCCUUCAGAAUUUUUUUUUUUUUAAACAACUGAGGGUUAUAGCUAUAAAGGGCAUACAUGGAGCAGAUCAAUGUUGUAAGCAAAAUUCCUUCCCAGAACAUCAAAACCACUUAAUAUGCUCAACUGCUUCUGAGGCAUGCAUUUUGGAGGAGAACUGUUAUGCUGAUUACCAAUAAUUAUAAUCUACUCAUUAAGGAAAGUCCCUAAGGGCUUCUACAAAGGAACACUACAUGGCUGAGAUGGAGUUACUCUGUGUACUUGAAAAUAAUGAAGCUACCGUUCUUUUAAAAAUUAUCUAAUUUAGGCUUUUCACUGACUUAUGGGUUUCUCUGUAAGGACCCUAAAUGAAAGCGGUUUUGCUAAAUUUAAAUGGAAGCUUUCUCUCAAUGGUCCAGAGUAGCUUCAAAUCAAUUGCUGACAUGCUAGCUCCCUGCUGAGUAUGGAUGAGAAGAGAGAGGGUCAGGGAAGAAUUUAGAUCUGAAAGAUAUAUCCCCCUGAACUCUCUGCUUGUCUUAAACAUUUUCGUUUCAGAGAAGUUUCUCCAAAGAUUCUUGAGAUCACUGGAUCUCUGCAGAGAGAAGACAACUAGAAAAUCCUUUAGAAGCAAAGUUAAUGUAAAUAACACACAGGGGUUGAGAACUAAUUAUGGGCUGUGUACUUUAAUUUCCAUUUUAGUUAAGUCUCUUUACGUAAAAGAAACAGCCAAGCCAGCUCAGAUAUGGUUGCAAAGGGCUACAGGAGAGAAAUUUUACAGAAUUUCCACAGGCAGAAAUCAUAACUAGCCUCACAGAAACUGGAACUGACUCUAAGGUCUCCAGGCACCAGGAAUUUCAUGACUCUUUCCACAGGUGACCUCCCUCUGUCUUUGCAUUGAUUAAUUUGCUUUCAACUGCAAGAGACAGAAAAUCCAAUUCAAAGUGUCUUAAAUAGUAAGGAAAUUUACUGUCUCACCGAACUGGAAAUCCAGAUGCAAGUGGGUCUCAGGUUGUGUGAGCCAGUCAACUCUGUCAUCUAUGAUGCAGGUUCUUUCCUCUUCAUUUUGCCAUCCAGAAAGCCAGCUUCAUUCUAAGACUUGUUCUUAGGGAAUAUGAUCAUAGAGUAUUGGAUGGAAGGAAUGUGGGCUACAUGUUUCCUCAUGGGCAUUUUCAAGAGAGAAAUGGUCCCCCAGAUUCCCCACAGACUUUUAUCUCAUGGUAUCAUUGGCUUGAAUUAAGUCAUAUGACAUUCCUAAACUUACCCCUCAUGCCUAGUUCUAGUCACUAGCAAGGAGUAUGGGACUACCCAUGACUGGUUUAGACUGCUUAGGGCACAUCCCUAGCAAAGUCAGAUGUGUGAGGGAAGGAAAAAAGAGAAAUUGAGAGUAAUUCAUAAGUUUUUGUCUCAAGUAAAUGGGUAGACACUGAAGUCACUUGUGAAAUCUUGGAAGUAAAGGAGAUUGGAGGUGGAGGCAAGAAUCAAGAACGUCGUUUUGGAUAUGCAGUUCUGAAAAUGCCUAUUAGAUACCAAAUGAAAAAGGCCAUGUAAACCAAGGAAUAUAUGCAUUUGGAGCUCAAAGAAGGGGUCAGGGCUGGAGUUAAAAAUUCAAGGAUCAUCAACUUAUACCUAGAUUUAAAACUAGGGGAAUGGGAGUUCCCGUCGUGGCUCAGUGGUUAACGAAUCCGACUAGGAAACAUGAGGUUGCGGGUUCGAUCCCUGGCCUUGCUCAGUGGGUUAAGGAUCGGGUGUUGCCAUGAGCUGUGGUGUAGGUCACAGACGCAGCUUGGAUCCUGCGUUGCUGUGGCUGUGGUGUAGGCUGGCAGCUACAGCUCCAAUUAGACCCCUAGCCUGGGAACCUCCAUAUGCCGCAGGAGUGGCCCUAGAAAAGGCAAAAAGACAAAAAGACGAAAAAUAAAAAAAUAAAACAAACUAGGGGAAUGGAUGAAAUCAAUUAAGGAAAGAACAUGUAGAAAAAAAGAGAUGAGGCUCCAAGGCCAAGGGCUGGGGCACUCCAACAUCUAAAGGUAGAGCAGAGAAGCAGCCAGCCAACAGGGCCAAGAAGCAACAAUUAGUAAGACAGGGAGAAAAUCAGAAACAUGUACUGUCCUGGAAACCAAGUGUCCCUUUAUAUAGAGAAACCAAUUAUGCCCAAUGCUGGGGUGGGGAGGGCUUCCUGGGAGGGACAAGAGGUGAGCACUAUAUUUGCAACGUGGAAUCACUGGUGACCCAGACAAGUGCAGCUUCAGUGGAGUGAUGGGGGCAGAAACCUAGCUGGAGUGGGUUGAACAAAAAUGGGAUGUGGGUAAGUGAAAACAUUUAAUUUAGACAACUCUUAAGUUUUUCUGGGAAGGGCAGCAGAGAAAUGAGAAGUAACCAAAGAGGGAAAUGGGGCCAAAGGAAGCGUUUUUAAAGAAGAUCCUAGGAGUUCCCGUCGUGGCGCAGUGGUUAACGAAUCCGACUAGGAACCAUGAGGUUGCGGGUUCGAUCCCUGGCCUUGCUCAGUGGGUUAACGAUCCGGUGUUGCCGUGAGUAGGUUGCAGACGUGGCUCGGAUCCCGAGUUGCUGUGGCUCUGGUGUAGGCCAGUGGCUACAGCUCCGAUUAGACCCCUAGCCUGGGAAUCUCCACAUGCCACGGAAUCUCCACAUGCCAUGGGAGCGACCCAAGAAAUAACAAAAAGACAAAAAAUAAAUAAAUAAAUAAAGAAGAUCCUAGUGCAUAUCUUUAUGCUAAUAGGAAUGACGUAUCAAAAGAAAGAUGGAGGAAAGAGAAAAUAAUUGCAGGAGCAGAGAUCUUGAGAAGUCAAAAGAAGACAGGAUUCUGUAAACAGGUGGAGGGGUUGGCCUUUUACAAAAACAGGGCUAUUUCAUUCAGGAGGAAAGGUAGAGACUGAGCACAGAGGCAAGUCAUGCAGCUGACAUAGUAAAGGAUAAGGAUCCCCACCCGUUUCUAUUUCUGCCAUGAGGUAGGUGACAAGAUAGUUAGUAGAGAUGAAAGGAGGGGCUUUGAAGAAAAAUGAAGAUGGGAAAAGAAGGAAUGAAAACAGUAAUUUCAGGGAGUGAGAAAGUAGACAAGUACAUGAUGUUUGCUCAGCAGUUAGAGGUGAUGAAAAGAUUUAAGAUAUAACCAAGGGAAUAUGUAUGACUAAGGUGGAGGGAUAUGCACAUUCAACUUCAGAAAGACUAAGAAACUGACCCCCUAGUCACACAGCUAAUGGGCAGAAGGGCCAGGAAUCACACUGAAGCCAAGUGAGCUCACACUCCAUGCUCUUUCUACUAUGACAAACCUUCAGGUGCAGUUAAGCAACCUGGCACACAGAAAAAGCUACAAAGAAAGGUUAAUUCAGGAGUUCCCUUUGUGGCUCAGCAGUUAAGGAAUCCGACUAGGAUCCAUGAGGAUGUGGGUUCAAUCCCUGGCCUUGCUCAGUGGGUUAAGGAUCCAGCGUUGCCAUGAGCUGCCAUGGUCAGAGAUGAGGCUUGGAUCCAGUUUUGCUGUGGCUAUGGUGUAGGCCAGCAGCUGUAGCUUCAAUUCAACCCUGAGUCUGGGAACUUCCAUAUGCCGCU
rnacentral:lncRNA from 1 species